rnacentral:lncRNA from 1 species
CUGACCUGCCAGGAUCUGAAAUAAAAUCCUCCAUUCCGUCAGCAGUCUCAGACAGCAGCUUAGUUUCCAGGGAAUGAUAGUUUGCCUGAAGAAGAGUCUUGCCCAGGAAAUCAGUCCUCCAUCCCAGAAACCCAUUGUGUUCCCUGUAAACACUCAAUACUUCCAAAGGUUUUGUAACUCCUCUCUGGAAGUUGCUUUCUUAUUUUAUGCCAGUUUUAUUUAUAAGCGUUAAAACUACUGGAUGUCAGACACCAGAGGCUCAUCAGUUUCGAGCACUGGAUGCUCUUCCAGAGGACCUAAGUUCAAUACCCAGCACCCUUAGCAGGGUCCUAGAACUUUGCAACCAUGUCUGUAAGUCCAGUUCCAGGGAAGAGUCAAUGCCCUCUUCCUGGCUUAGGAGGGCUUCAGGAUUUUAGGUGGUCUCAUAGACAUACAAGGAGGCAAAACACUCAUACACAGCAAAAUUGAUUAUUGGUUGAUUAAUAAGUGAUAUAAAUAAAUGAAAAACAUUUGGUGCCGGUUCAAUUAAAAUCUGAAAAAGAUGAUUCUAGGGGUUGUUUUGUUUAGUGGGUUUAGUUUUAUGGGUUUUGGUUUUGUUUUGUUUUAUGGCUAAUUUAUAUAUUGACUCCAUUUUCUUCAUUGUUUGGUGAUACUGAAAUCAAACCAGCACUUGAUACAUGCUAGGCAGUUUGUACAUUGCCACGGAGCAGCAACAUUAGUGUCAAAUAGUACUCACUCUGAAAGAAUUGUCACUGAUUUUUGUCCAACCUGGUCUAUAAACUGCUAUAGUGUGUUUUAUUUUAGUAGAUCACCAUUAGGAUUUUUCCCCCCAAGCUAGGGUCUAACAAAUUUAAGUUUUAGCAUCAGUUUCUUAAAGCCUCAACUGUUUAUUUAAACGUUUAACAUUUCAAAACCUGAAAUAAAUUAUAAAAAUAACUUCUCUUAGUCAAUAAAGCAAACAUCUGAAAUCCAAGCCUAUUUACCAGGUAUUUGAAACUAUGACUGUGUAUCGGUGUGUGUCUGAGUACGUACAGACCGAGGGGAGGUUUGCGUGUAUUCUGUGAUUAUUCAGAGAGUCUGGUUUUCUUUUUAAAAACCAAGGCAGGAAAUGUUGCCUGCGCGGUAAAUAUGGGGAUGGAUCAAAGCAUUAGCGAAGCUGUCUCUUCCAUCACAGCUUAACGUUUGAGACUCGGCAGCUGCAGAAUUAUUCGUGCAGUUUCCUGUUCUCAAGAAUAUUUCCUUAGCAGGGUCCUAGUGAUGGGGAAAUUCCAGUUUAGAAUGCUCGGUGAGCCAAUCUGAUUUACAAUAUGUGAUACGUGCCAUUUCCCAGAGAAAAUGAGAGGAUAAAUAGAAACAGAGCGCAACAGGCAAUGCUUAGGGAGAGUGAUGACUUCUCUUGAGGGGCUUCCGAGUACGGGUCCGCUAUGAAUGAACCUCUGCUGAGGUCCAGAACCCUCAGUAUGAAGACGCGAGGACAUCCUCAGACAAAUCCAAGCUCUUCCAGUCAUCGCGGAACGCGUGAGAGCAAGGCAGCCUGAAGGGAAAACGUUCUGUAAGAACCUUGGGUCGUAACCCUGGAAGAGGAAGGAAAUGUCCUUGUUCCUUCCCUUCUUUAAUGGCUCCCACCAUCUCCACUGCAGUCCUCGGGUCAAGGGGUAGAAGGUCACUUGACAGAGCAGGGAAGAACAGGAACCAUUCCAGGUGACAGUGCCCAUCCACGCUCAGGAGACCCACGAGACUCUGGGGUUUAGAAUAGAUGUUCACUUCUUCUGGAACCUUUGUGGUUUUCCUGUACACAACAAUCCCGAAUCAUCAAAGCAGCCCUCGGGGCAGCUCACCAAGGAGUCCGGGUGGGGUGAAGAAAUAAAGGAUAUAUUUGGUGAGUGUACUUUCUCUCAGUCCAAUAAUUUUUUUCUGUUUUCCCAGCGUGCAUUUUUCAUAAUUAAAAAGCAUCGUUGUGAGGACUCUGAGGAAAAUAACAAUGUGUAAUAUGAUAUUUAACAGCACACAUUGGUUUCUGUUUAGACUGUACCUUUCUGGCUGCAAACUGUCUUUGUUCUGCUAAAAUGCUGGAAAACUUGAGAACACUGGUUGAGGAAAUUCUCUGCUUAGCCUCAAGACAUUUCAAAUGCCCAAUUUAUUCUUGAGCUUAAUGAAUCAGUAAAUUCUCUGUGUCACGUUUCUGGCUUUCCAACACAGAUCUUUGAUUUUAAUUUCAUUGAGUAUCAUUCACAGUUUAGAAGUGAUCCAUAAUCUAAUGUGUAGUGAGCGCUCUGUGGCCCUGGCAUAAUCGGGUCCACAUACUUGUUUUCUGAAGAGUGUGUUUCGUAUUUCUUCCUGAUGGAAGUUUACUCUCGCUUUAUACAGGGAUAAUGUUCAGGACUGCCACCAAAGUCUGCCCUGUGUUUAACAAGAGGAACAUCCCAUGUAACCUAACCUUAUCCUGCCCUGAAACUUCAUCUUGUCCAGAGAUGUCAUCAUACAUAAGAUUUUGUAAAGACUAUAUAUAAAGAGCUGUCACCCUGAAUUGUUUGUGGAAUUAUAUUAGGGAUAAAAAAGCAUGCACACAUGUUAUGGAAUAAUUUGUGUGCAUGCUUUUAAUGUAGUUUUCAAACGUUUCCAUCUGAGAUGGUCUAACACACAGGUGUGGAAGCUGUGAGUUUGAAAGGCCGAAUCAUACUAGCAUUUUCUUUCACUAUCUGGCUAUGCCCAGAUACUUUGCUACUCAAGGAAUUCAAUUAUCAAAUCUUCCCUUGGUUCUUUUCUUUCAUUAAAGAAAUAUCCACCUUUCCUUUUAGACAAUUUUAGCUUGAUAUGGGCUUGGAUUGCUAAGAUGGAAAGGAAUAAGGGCUAGCAUUAUGCACACUGCCAACUAGAAGAAAACUAAUCCUAUUAACUUGGCUGUGUGUCCUGAUAGCGCUUUCUUUCAGCCUUUGGAGAUGAUGCCCCGCCCCUGUCUCCUCUUUGACCAUUUAGAGAUGAUGCCCACCCCUGACUCCUCCCCUCAAACUGGCCAUUUUUAAUGUAUAGCUUCUUUACUAAAAUUUGACCUUGCUUAUAAAGACAUGGUUAAAAUUAUAAAUAUAUAAACACUCAAAAUCUGAUUCUUUUCAGACGGCCAAGACAGUUAAGAUGAAACUCGUGUUAUAUUGUUUUGAUUUCUCAAUUAUAAAAUAACCUCUGAAAGCCAGCAGUUCUCUACAGAUUUUACUUUUUACUGUUUGUGACAAAAACAUACGAUUUGCAUACUUGAGCAGUUAAAAAAAAACUGGGAGUUUAAAGUUCUAGAUUCUACUAAUGUAGAGUAACUAUUGCAGUAAACCCUGAAAUGAAAGGGAAUGUCAAGGUCAAAAUACCAAUUUCCAAAACCAUUCUCUGCAACACUGUUAGGAUUUUCAUAAUGGUGAAAAGGGGAGAGUGAGAGAGAGAGAGAGAGAGAGAGAGAGAGAGAGAGAGAGAUCUUAGUAAUGAGUAAGGCAGUACAUUUAAAUGUAAAUGUGGCUCCUGCCUCAAAGUCAUGAUCUGGAGCCAAAAUUCUACUUCCCAUCUGUCUCUAAAUUCUACUGAAUCCAAAGUAAAAUCUCAAGAAUAUAUUUCAUUUAUAGAAAUAACAAAACCUGAAAAUGGUUUGUUAUUAGAAUAGAGACUUAAAACGUGUGCGUGCCUGAGAAGGGCAGAUUCCAUAGUCCAGUGAAGCUACAGUGAAAAACUGAAGAACAUUUUGGGCUGUUUUCCCAGGAUGGACCUCACAGAUGGGGUCUAGCUGUGUCUUGUGUGCCUUCAACAUCACUACUGAUAUUUAUUCCAGUCAAGACAUCUCUAAGUCACAAAUGAAAGAGAAGUUAUGACACGUACAUGAUAUGUGAAUGUUGUUAAAAUUGCUCAAAGAGUGCUCAUAAAAUGCCAAUAAUUGGAAAUUAAUAGAUCUAACUUACAGCCAAAAAGGUAAAAUUUCAGGUUGGUGCAGUCACACUGACCUGUCAUGACAGCUGAGGUAUGAUCCAGGCUGGUCUGGGCAAUCUGGUCACAUCAAAAUAAAAGUAACCCAUGCCAAUUCACUCAUUAAUUAAUUCAACUUCUAAAGGUAGGAUAUAAUAAAAUAAUAACAGUGUGAAUUUCUAGAAUUUUGAAAAAUAUGUGCUUAAGUAUGUUUACAAAGCAAAUAGUGGAAAAAGAGGAAUAAUGAAUAAAAUAUUAAAUGCCCAGAAAUCAUAUUAUGGGAUGAGAACAGAACAAAGCAUUACAGACCUGACAAUAAAUGUAAAUGGAUCAAAUUCUUCAGCCAGUGUGAAACUCUGAGGUAUAGAACACAAU